rnacentral:lncRNA from 10 species
CCUGCCUACUUAUUGUUGACUUUCUGUCUCAGGCUCUUGUCUGAGUUUAUUAUUUGGCUUCUGCCAUUCUCUUCAGCUCCUCUUUGAAGCUCCUGCUGGUAACUUCCAGCCUGCUCUUAAGAAACACCAGGCAUCAUCAAUGUAGAUGAGUCAGCCUGCAUUUUGGCUGUCACUCUCACCUUUCAGAAGUGACAUGAAGGCCUCCUAGCUGCCCUUUCUGCCUUAUACCUGCACUUAAUCUGGACUUGAACUUAGGGAUCCUCACCCUAGCCUUCAAAAGGAAUGCAGCCCCAUACUUAUCAGAUUCCACAGGAUGCGAGCAUAUGCAGUGGAAACAUUGUGUUAUUCCAUCCUCAGAAGAAAAGAGACAGUAUUAUACUUCGUCUCUUGCUAGUACAGAUCUAUAAACUAAGAAUAAUCUGGAGAGGUCAAUUCCUAAUUAGAACCUAGUAUGGAAGACUAGGAUCCUAAAACUCAGUGGUAACUCCGAAGAGUAAAAAUCUACCCCAGAGCUAUACGUGAAAGAUUGGAAUUUUACAAGGAGGUUUGCAUUUUAAAACUGGUUGCUGAGAUUUCACCAGAACUACCACAGAAACAUACCAGGAAAGCUGAGAGAAUCCACAGAUCCUUUGAAGGAAGUGGCUUGCUGUUGCAGGCUCCUUGAGACAGCCAAAAACUCUCACGGCAUUGGGAGACUAUGGAACAUUUGGAGAAGCCAUACAUUGUUUGUAUAUCCACUUUGGAAAUUUCUGGGGUAUUUUGUACAUUUUAUUUUUUUAAUUUUUAAUUAAAAAUUUUUUUGUAGAUACAUAGUGGGUGUAUAUAUUUAUAGGGU